AUUGAACGCUGGCGGCAUGCCUUACACAUGCAAGUCGAGCGCGAAAGGGGGGCAACCCCGAGUAGAGCGGCGGACGGGUGAGUAACGCAUCGGAACGUGCCCAGUAGUGGGGGGACAACCUCGAGAAAUCGAGGCUAAUACCGCAUACGACCCACGGGUGAAAGCGGGGACCGCAAGGCCUCGCGCUAUUGGAGCGGCCGAUGUCCGAUUAGCUAGUUGGCGGGGUAAGAGCCCACCAAGGCGACGAUCGGUAGCUGGUCUGAGAGGACGACCAGCCACACUGGGACUGAGACACGGCCCAGACUCCUACGGGAGGCAGCAGUGGGGAAUUUUGGACAAUGGGGGCAACCCUGAUCCAGCCAUGCCGCGUGCGGGAAGAAGGCCU
rnacentral:rRNA from 1 species